CUCAGCUGGAAUUCCAUCACCAUCACUAGCUUUGUUCAUGGUGAUGCUUCCUACGGCCCACUUGACUUUGCAUUCCAGGAUGUCUGGCUCUAGGUGAGUGAUCACACCAUUGUGGUUAUCUGGGUCAUUAAGAUCUUUUCUGUAUAGUUCUUAUGUGUAUUCUUGCCACAUCUUCUUAAUUAUCUUCUGCUUCUGUUAGAUCCACACCAUUUCUGUCCUUUAUUGUGCCCAUCUUUGCUUGGAAUGUUUCCUUGGUAUGUCUGAUUUUCUUGAAGAGAUCUCUAGUCUUUCCCAAUCUAUUGGUUUCCUCUAUUUCUUUGCACUGAUCACUGAGGUAGGCUUUCUUAUCUCUCCUUGCUAUUUGGAACUCUGCAUUUAGAUAGGUAUAUCUUUCCUUUUCUCCUUUGCCUUUCCUUCUCUUUUCUCAGUUAUUUGUAAGGCCUCCUCACGCAACCAUUUUGCCUUUUUGCAUUUCUUUUUCUUGGGGAUUGUUUUGAUCACGGCCUCCUAUACAAUGUUACAAACCCCAUCCACAGUUCUUCAGGCACUCUGUCAGAUCUAAUCCUUUGAAUCUAUUUGUCACUUCCACUGUAUAAUUGUAAUGGAUUUGAUUUAGGUCAUUUAAUGGUCUAGUGGUUUUCCCUACUUUCUUCAAUUUAAGUCUGAAUUUUGCAAUAAAGAGUUCGUGAUCUAAGCCCGUCAAAACUAUUCACCUAGAAAUAUAAGUAACUUAGUGGAAUAAAGUAAGAGAUUACAGAAAAGAAUACACCCUUAUAUAUCUUUUGGGGAAUAAUUUUAUAUAUAUAGAAAACUUGCCAAGAUAAUCAGUUUCUGUACCCUUAAUAUUUGGCAUAAUUUGCAAGAAUACAAGAAACCAAAUAUUCACACGUUACUGUUAACUCCAGAUAUCCUUUAAUUUCCACCAGUUUACCAGGUUUUCUACAGAAUACCUGAGCACCAGAGUACUUUUCUGGUGUCCUGUAGAAUGAUCUUCAUUUGGGGUUUAUCUGAAACUUUCUUUUCAUGAUUAGACUGGGGUUGUGGAGUUUGGAAUGGUUACUGUAGGAGUGAAGUGACUUCCUCAUCACAUAUCAAGAGAUGUAUCCACAUGACAUUACCGGAGAUGUUAACCAUCACUUUGUUAAGACAGGGUUUGCCAGAUUUCUCCGUCAUAAAGGUACUACUAUUUUCUUUUUAAUACUGUGUUAUUUGGAAGCACAGGCAUAUGUUGGAGAUAACUGCCGGUUCAAUUCCAGACCACCACAGUAAAGUAUCCAGUUUUCCCAGCACCAUUUCUGAAGACUUUACUGAAUUACUUAAACACUUUGCUGAAAACUGAAUUUGCAUUUAUACUCUCAUACAGACUCAAAACAACAGCAUAGAAAGAAUGCAAGGGAAUAUACUCCAUUCUCAUAUCCUAC
ensembl:lncRNA